GACGAACGCUGGCGGCGUGCUUCACACAUGCAAGUCGAACGAAGUGGCGAACGGGUGAGUAACGCGUAAUCAACCUGCCCUUCAGAGGGGGACAACAGUUGGAAACGACUGCUAAUACCGCCUACCGAAGGAGGGGAUUGCGUGUGAUUAGCUGGCUGGCGGGGUAAAGGCCCAAGAGGGCGACGAUCAGGAGCGGGGCUGAGAGGAGGAUCCGCCACACUGGUACUGAGACACGGCCCAGACUCCUACGGGAGGCAGCAGUGGGGAAUUUUGGACAAUGGGCGCAAGCCUGAUCCAGCCAUGCCGCGUGUCUGAAGAAGGCCUUCGGGUUGUAAAGGACUUUUGUCAGGGAAGCGGUACCUGAAGAAUAAGCACCGGCUAACUACGUGCCAGCCGCCGCGGUAAUAC
rnacentral:rRNA from 1 species